CCGCCACCACCUUUGUCGAAAUCCACACCGUGUACUCCAGGUUGUCUCGCACCUUUGAUCUAAAAGAAUCAUCCAAAUUAAGGAUGUGUGGUCCCCAAGUCAUGAGUCAUUUUUCGGCAAGGAGUUCCUUAUUGGUUGUUAGCCAAUACAUUUUGAAUAAAAACUGAAGUUUAGAUAAAAAUAAUUGUAAGGUGGGAGCACCUGGCUGGUUCCAGACCUGGAGGAUGGCUUUGCGUCCACCAGCUUCUACAA